AUCUUUUUUUAUUCAUUACAUGAAUUAAAUGAAAUUUUUUUUUUAAAGAGUGGGGGGUUUUAAAUAUAUUCGCGAAACCUUACUUUAUUAAAAAAGUUUGGUUUGCUUAAAAAAUCAUUAAUGAUCCUUCCGCAGGUUCACCUACGGAAA
rnacentral:misc_RNA from 1 species